GGCGGGUCCCUUCGCAUUGUGGGGCGGUGAAUCGGGUCAGGUCCGGAAGGAAGCAGCCACAGCUGUUAUCCAUGAGUGCCGAAGUUCAGGCUCGCCUUC
rnacentral:SRP_RNA from 1 species